rnacentral:misc_RNA from 1 species
UUCUCCAAGAAAGCCAAAUGCUCUGCUUUUUUUAUCACAUGAGUACUAAAGAUCGCUGGCCCUGAGUCUCUUCCUCCACCCCUUAUCGCUGCCAAUGCAAGCUUGAACAUCAACAAAAACACAAACCCAGAUAUAGUUCCGGCAACCGCUCCGGCGAGAAAUCCUAGGAUCCACCCACUAAACCUCUUUUUGCUCUUUUUGCUCUUGUGAUGGGCGCCUCCUGUCGACGAUGGGCUAGGAGCUUGAGCAGAACCCAUUGUUGCAGUUGGUCCAGCUGCAGAAGAAACAUUUUUGCUUCCUCUGGUUGUAUUAUUCUGAGCUAAGAGAUAACGUUUUGGGUAUUGAGAUGCUAUGGAUCCAGCUUUGCUCACAUAUCCCUCAAGAAAGUUAUUCCCAGAGAAGUCGAAGAAUUGGAGA